rnacentral:sRNA from 1 species
CAGACCGUAAGAGCACAAGUGGCUGUGCUAU